rnacentral:rRNA from 1 species
GACGAACGCUGGCGGCGUGCCUAAUACAUGCAAGUAGAACGCAGUUGCGAACGGGUGAGUAACGCGUAAGUAACUGCCUGGUAGCGAGGGAUAACUAUUGAAAAAGAUAGCUAAUAACGCAUACUACCAGAUGGACCUGAGUUGUAGUAGCUAGUUGGUGGGGUAACGGCGCACCAAUGCAACGUUACAUAGCCGUCCUGAGAUGGGGAUCGGCCACACUGGGACUGGGUCACGGCCCAGACGCCUACGGGAGGCAUCCGUAGGGAAUUUUCGGCAAUGGCCGUAAGUCUGACCCAGCAACGCCGCGUGAGUGAAGAAGGUUUUCGGAUCGUAAAGCUCUGUUUUAAGAGAAGCGGUAUCUUACCAGAAAGCGACGGCUAACUACGUGCCAGCAGCCGCGGUAAUAC